AUGUACUUGAUAGGAUUCUAUAGUCUUCAUGAAUUCCUUCACCAUGAUAUUGCGAAGUACCAAUCCCGGUUCUUCUGGGCGGGAAAGGGAGACAAGAAAAAGUAUCACAUGGUCAAAUGGUAGGAAAUUUGCAAACCCAAGGACCAAAGGGGCCUGGGAAUAACUUCCUUCAAGCGGAUAAAUAUCGCGCUGCUAUCUAAAUGUCUUCGGCGGAUUGCAAUCAAAGAAGGAGGGGGGGGGGUCUCUGGUUGA
rnacentral:rRNA from 1 species